rnacentral:rRNA from 1 species
AGUGAACGCUGGCGGUAGGCCUAACACAUGCAAGUCGAACGGCAGCACAGUAAGAGCUUGCUCUUACGGGUGGCGAGUGGCGGACGGGUGAGGAAUACAUCGGAAUCUACUUUUUCGUGGGGGAUAAUGUAGGGAAACUUACGCUAAUACCGCAUACGACCUACGGGUGAAAGCAGGGGAUCUUCGGACCUUGCGCGAUUGAAUGAGCCGAUGUCGGAUUAGCUAGUUGGCGGGGUAAAGGCCCACCAAGGCGACGAUCCGUAGCUGGUCUGAGAGGAUGAUCAGCCACACUGGAACUGAGACACGGUCCAGACUCCUACGGGAGGCGGCAGUGGGGAAUAUUGGACAAUGGACGCAAGCCUGAUCCAGCCAUACCGCGUGGGUGAAGAAGGCCUUCGGGUUGUAAAGCCCUUUUGUUGGGAAAGAAAAGCAGCAGGUUAAUACCCCGCUGUUCUGACGGUACCCAAAGAAUAAGCACCGGCUAACUUCGUG